CUAUACAAUUGAUCUAGGUAUGUACUCGUAGUUAGUGGAACAGUUGUAAAAGUGAAAUCAGCAAAGAUGCCAUCAUACUUGUAUUUGAUAUUUUUCAUCAUAAGGUGUUUCUUUUUCGUAUUUUGCAAACCCGAUGAUUUAGCAAUAACGCUCCAACAAUUCACAGACUGGAAAUGCUCAAGAAUAUGCGGAAGUCCUGAAACAUACGACAGGUAUCACCUUUUUGUGAAGGAUCUGUGUGUCAAACUCGCCAAGCAAUAUUCAUAUUCCACCAAAGAUUUGGAAAUAAGCCAAAACAGCGGAUGCAAUAACUUCGUACCAGUACAAUUAGGUAUUGCAUUUUCCGUGCAACUUGUAGGAUUGUGUCAUCUGGCUUCUGGAUUUACUAAAUGUAUAACUAGGGGACAAGGAGAUAAAAUCAUUGUUUACGACUACCUUAAUGGGAAAUGUUACCCAAAAAGAAUCACAACAGAAAGUUCUCUGAAUAAUUAUACAAAAUUCUCGGUCGGUAAUUUGUUAAGUUCAAUUUUACAACUGUUUAGUUGCGGAGUAAUAAGAGUUUGAUGGCCUGGCAAACUGAUUAUCAUCAUUCAUCACUUUCUUGUUACCUAGCGAGAGUAGGAAAAGGGAAAAAAGAAUUCGUGAAAUAAAAAAUGAUUUAAGAUU